GUACAAUGAGAGGAAUAAUGCCUAUACAUGCCAAUCAUUGUCAGCACAAGCAAAUAACAUACUAAGCCUCAAGAAGUAUGAAAAUAGAAUAUCCAAUUAAUAUAAUAUUUUAGCAGUGUUAUGCACAAAAUUCAAUUUAUCAUGCAAUAACACAGUAUUUUUUCUAUGGCAAUAUGACCUAAAUUGAGGAAAAAUUGCCAACUAGAGAUGUUACCACAGAAAUUUACACCUAGAGUCCAAC
rnacentral:misc_RNA from 1 species